CAGUCGCCGCGGUAAUACGAAGGGGGCUAGCGUUGUUCGGUUUUACUGGGCGUAAAGGGCGCGUAGGCGGACUGAUAAGUCAGGGGUGAAAUCCCAAGGCUCAACCUUGGAACUGCCUUUGAUACUGUUUGUCUUGAGUUCGAGAGAGGUAAGUGGAACUGCGAGUGUAGAGGUGAAAUUCGUAGAUAUUCGCAAGAACACCAGUGGCGAAGGCGGCUUACUGGCUCGAUACUGACGCUGAGGCGCGAAAGCGUGGGGAGCAAACAGGAUUAGAUACCCCAGUAGUCCCUGUCUCUUAUAC
rnacentral:rRNA from 1 species